rnacentral:rRNA from 1 species
GACGAACGCUGGCGGCGUGCUUAACACAUGCAAGUCGAACGAGGCAGCGCCUUCGGGCCGUUGUCGAGUGGCGAACGGGUGAGUAACACGUGAGGAACCUGCCCCGGAGACCGGGACAACCAGGGGAAACCCUGGCUAAUACCGGAUGCCCUCGGAUGGUCGCAUGGCCGACCGAGGAAACGCUCCGGUGCUCCGGGAGGGCCUCGCGGCCUAUCAGCUUGUUGGUGGGGUAACGGCCCACCAAGGCAUNGACGGGUAGCUGGUCUGAGAGGACGAUCAGCCACACUGGGACUGANACACGGCCCAGACUCCUACGGGAGGCAGCAGUGGGGAAUAUUGCGCAAUGGGCGAAAGCCUGACGCAGCAACGCCGCGUGGGGGAUGAAGGCCUUCGGGUUGUAAACCCCUUU